UCUCAGACAGGGAAUGAGGUUCUCCCUCAAUUACGAUUGAAACCGCCAAAUGGCUGAUGACUUCUGUGAAUCG
rnacentral:ncRNA from 2 species